GGGACCGCGCGUCACAUGCAAAAACGUUGACUCUUGCCGUCGUCCGUCUCACUCAUGACCUGCACCACCCCGUGACGUCCGGCGACCUCCGCUCUCUCCACCGCCCCCGCAACCUAAACCUAACUCUCUCUCUUUCUACCCUCCCUUUGACUACUCCUCUCUCUCUCCCUCAUCGAAUCCAUCGACAACAAGCCAACAAAACUAAGAGAGAAAGGUCCAGUUGAAAUCGACCUUGGAUUUUUAGAGAGAGCAACAGUGACGAAGACCAGUCGAAAUCAACCUUGGAUUUUUAUCCUCUCUCUCUGUAUCCAGAUAUGAAAAAGGUCAGUUUCUCGUGAAUUUUAAUGGUUCAGUAAAUUUCCAUUAAUGGGUUCCUUAAGCCAAGUGCUUGUUGGCUUUCAUCUCUUUGCUUUCCCUUUUCUCGGUUCCCUUUAAUGUGCGGUGGGUUCCUGAUUCUUUCAGUACAUGAAUGGACAUGGAUUUCUUUUGGGUUUUUUUCCUUACGAGAUAUUUAAAUUCCCGUUUGUUUCUGAGAUUGAAUCACGGGCCUGGGUUUUGCUGCUUUUGAUGAUCACCAUUUUCAAGUAAUGGUGCUGCGUUUGUUUCUGAGAGUGAGUUUUUCAAGCAAUUGGGGUUUUGGGUUUUGAGUUUUAUAGGUUUGAAGAGAUAGGCUUUGGCUUCUGAGGGGUUUCAUGGAGUUGGCUUGGGGUUUUGGGAGGUUUCAUGGGAUUGGGUUUUGAGUUUUAUAGGUUUGAAGAGAUGGGUUUUGGGUUCUGAGGGGUUUCAUGGAGUUGGCUUGGGGUUUUGGGAGGUUUCAUGGGAUUGGGUUUUGAGUUUUAUAGGUUUGAAGAGAUGGGUUUUGGGUUCUGAGGGGUUUCAUGGAGUUGGCUUGGGAUUUUGGGAGGUUUUAUAGAAUUGGGUUUUGGGUUUUGGGGUUUUGUUGAGUCUGUGUGUUGUUUGGUGAAAUCGGUGCUGGUUUCUCCCUCUAUAUUGAGGUUUGGUUCAGAUGCUUAAAAAGAGAAAGAAUAUCUGUUUGGUGGACUAUCUUAGUUUGUGAUAUUUUAUGAGAUCGGUGGUGGCUUCUCACUCCAUGAUUGAGCUUGGGCUUAGAGUGAAAAAGAAUACAUGUGAAAGAGAAGGAACUGUUUCCUUGUCAUAAUUUGUGUUCGAGGGAGCGAAAACAGUUUUAGCGUUUCUCAAUCUAAAUAUGACUAACAAGGUUUUAAGGAUGGGAUUUUCGCUUCUAGUAUGGAUUCUAUUGGUUCCUUCAGAUGCAAUUUCCAUUACCAAAGAGCGAGAAGUAAACCAGACCUGUGAUCCAAAUGAUUCACAGGCUUUGCUCGAAUUUGUUGAAACGUUAUCAAAUAAUGGUCUUCUGGGUUGGUCUCAUGGGUCCAAUUGUUGUUCAUGGAAAGGUGUUUAUUGUGAUCCUAAUCUGCAGGGAAAUGGAAACAGUUCAAAAGUAGCUAGGGUGAAGAAGUUGGCUUUGCGUGGUUUGAGUCUGAAAGGGGUCAUAUCGGGCUCAUUGGGUCGCUUAGAUCAGCUACAAUAUCUGAUUCUUUCAUUCAAUCUCUUAGAAGGUGAACUUCCUCAGGAACUUUCGAAUUUGCAAAAUUUGGAGGUUCUGGAUCUGAGCUACAAUAUGCUGAGAGGAUCAGUGCUCCCUUUGAUUGGCCUUAAAUCAAUCCGAUCUCUCAACAUUUCGAGCAAUUUGUUUAAUGGAAGUCUUGUUGAUUUCAGAGGCUACCCAAACCUCACAGUUUUUAAUAUCAGCAGUAAUUCAUUCACAGGACCCAUAGUCACCAACAUUUGCAGAAAUUCAGCCAUGAUUCAGGUCAUGGAUCUCUCUGAGAACCGAUUUUCUGGUGAACUUAAAUUGGGGCUGGGAAAUUGUACUUCUCUUAGAGAGUUAUACAUGGGUUUCAAUGCUCUUGCAGGGCGGCUUCCUUAUGAUGUAUUCACGUUGCUCUCCUUGAAGGAGCUUUCAAUUCCAGCCAACAAUUUCUUUGGUCGGUUUAGUGAGAGAGUGAGUAAUCUCUCCAGCCUUGUAUCGCUUGUGAUUUUUGGAAACCGAUUCUUUGGUCCUCUUCCUGAUGUAUUUGGAAAUCUUACAAAGCUUGAACAACUUAUUGCCCACUCGAAUUCCUUCACCGGCACAUUGCCUGCUUCUCUCUCUCUCUGUUCCUUGAUUAAAGUGGUUGACCUGAGAAACAAUUCUCUGAGUGGUACCAUUGAUCUCCUUUUCGAAAAAAUACCGCAUCUCAGCUCUCUAGAUCUCGCUACAAACCGUUUCAAUGGUGAACUCCCUGCUUCUCUAUCCAAUUGCAAGGAGUUGAAGACGUUAAGCCUUGCGAGAAACAACCUUGUUGGCCAAGUUCCUGAGAGUUAUGGAAACCUCCAGUCUCUCUCUUUGCUAUCUCUCUCUAACAACAGCUUCCAAAACAUAUCUAGAGCAUUGGAUAUACUGCACAACUGUGGCAAUCUUACAACUCUCAUCCUCACUAAGAAUUUUAAUGGUGAGAGAAUUCCAGUUGGUAUCAGUGGGUUCAAUAGCCUAAUGGUAUUUGCAUUGGGAAAUUGUGGGCUUUGGGGUGAGAUCCCUGAUUGGUUGCAAGAGUGCAGGAAAUUGCAAGUGCUCGAUCUAUCCUGGAAUCGCCUAAGUGGAGGCAUCCCUCCAUGGAUUGGCACUUUUGAAUACCUCUUUUACUUGGAUGUCUCGAACAAUUCUCUUACUAGAGAAGUACCCAAGAGCUUGACUCAGCUGCAAAUGCUUGUCAGUGCCAAUACAACUGCAAAUGCCACCCUAAUCAAUAUCCCUCUCUAUGUGAAGCGAAACAAGAGCUCUAAUGGAAUGCAGUAUAAUCAGGUUUCGAGCUUUCCCCCCGCACUUUACCUGAGCAAUAACAGACUUAAUGGGAUGAUAUGGCCUGAGUUUGGGCAGUUGAAGGGGCUCCACAUAUUAGAUUUGAGCAGAAAUAACAUCACAGGAACUAUACCCGAUACCAUCUCAAACAUGGUCAACUUAGAACUCUUGGAUCUGUCCUAUAAUGAGCUAAAUGGAUCAAUACCGAUGUCUUUAUGCAAUCUCACCUUCUUGUCGAAGUUCAGUGUGGCCCAUAACUAUUUGGAGGGAGAAAUCCCCGAUGGGGGGCAAUUCUUCUCGUUCUCAAACUCGAGUUUUGAAGGGAAUUUGGGUCUUUGCGGCAGCCCACUUCCUUCGUGCCAGAGGAGCCCAGCAUUUGGACUUGAGCCUUCUGGUCCAACUGGUAGGACCAAUAGAAGUGGUAUCCUUGGCAUAACACUGAGUAUUGGACUUGGGAUUGCAUUGCUCUUGGCCACUUUGCUUCUUCACAUGUCAAGAAAGGAGGAAAGAUAUCAGUCUAACGGAGAAGUGGUGGAUUCAGAUAGGUCACAUAGGCCAUCUGAGUCAUUUGGCUCCAAGUUGGUUCUUCUCUUUCAAAACCCUGAAGGCAUGGAGCUCACCAUUAAUGAUUUAUUGAAAUCGACAAACAAUUUCGACCAGGCAAACAUAAUUGGAUGUGGAGGUUUCGGUUUGGUUUAUAAAGCCUAUCUCCCUGAUAACACCAAGGCAGCGAUUAAAAGGCUCUCAGGAGACUGUGGUCAAAUGGAGAGAGAGUUUCGAGCGGAAGUUGAAGCUCUCUCUAGAGCUCAACACAAGAACCUUGUUUCGCUAAGAGGGUAUUGCAGGCAUGGAAAUGAUAGGCUACUUAUAUACUCUUAUAUGGAGAAUGGCAGCUUGGACUAUUGGUUGCAUGAGAGGCUUGAUGAGGGCUUGAUGCUUGAUUGGGGCACUAGGCUGAAGAUAGCUCAAGGGUCGGCAAGGGGAUUGGCUUAUUUGCAUAGGGUUUGCGACCCAAAUAUUGUUCACCGAGAUGUUAAGUCUAGUAACAUACUUUUGAAUGACAAGUUUGAAGCCCACCUUGCUGAUUUCGGUUUGUCGAGGCUUUUAAGGCCUUAUGAUACCCAUGUAACCACCGACUUGGUUGGAACUUUAGGUUAUAUCCCUCCAGAAUAUGGCCAGACCCUCACAGCCACUUUCAAGGGUGAUGUUUAUAGCUUUGGGGUUGUUUUAUUGGAACUUCUUACUGGUAAGAGGCCUGUUGACGUGUGCAAAUCAAAGGGUUGCAGGGACUUGGUAUCUUGGGUGGUCCAGAUGAAACGGGAGAAGAAAGAAGAAGAGAUAUUUGUACCAUUUCUAUGGAGUAAGGAGCACGAGAAACAACUGCUCCAAGUGCUUGAAAUUGCAUGCAAAUGCAUAGAUCAGGAUCCUAAACAGAGACCCUCUAUCGGGCAGGUUGUGUUGUGGUUGGAUAGUGUUGGAGAUGCUGAACCCGUUAGGUGAUGAAUGUCAUACCAUAUACAUUUGUCCCUCUUGAGAGAUAAACAACUGUAAAUACCCUACCAAUUUUAGAUACUUCUAUGGGGAUUGUGCCUUGAACCAGCAAGCUCCUGUGAAGGUCACAAAACCCCACGUCUUCUGAUGUAAAUAUCAGAUGGCUAGGGUAUAUCAUUUUUCUGCACAGUCCAAGGAAGCUUUUCUCAGACUUCAAGCACGACCAAUGACGCAACCCCAGCUGCUCAAUUUGGCAUCUAAUGGUUAAGGGUGAUUGUGAUAUACCAAAGGGGAGCAUCAAACAAAUUUCUUGAGGGGCUUCCCAGUCAACCAAGAAAAGGCCAUCCAGCAAUGAUUCUGAUGUUGAGAGGACAAAUUCAUGCUCAGGAUCUGUAAAUGGGGCCUCCUAUAUUAUGCCUUCUUUGCCUGUCUUGGUUGUUGGUUACCUGCAUUUUAAGCUUCAUAUUCAGUCGUGGUUGUUGGUUACCUGCAUUUUAAGCUUCAUAUUCAAUAUUACUUUCCCUGUAUUUUCUGUUCUCGUAGCUCCUUUCCUGUAUCUGUGAGUGGCUUGUAAAAGUAAGUUUGCUCUAUUUCUGUAUAAAUUGGACAAUGAAACAAAAUUUAUUUCUGCAGAUGAAUUCUGGAUGAGUUAUUCUGGUUACGUUCCCUGCCCAUUAGUAGUAUAACAAUUGAGUAGUAUAUACGUCUCAAGCUUUGUAGAAACAAACUGAAUUAAAAAACCACCCUCCUAUCCUCAGAUGACAACUUGCUUGUCAGAAUAUCAUGCUGUACCUUUCACCACUUAUAGCUUAUUAAUGAAAUGACGUAUGUUCUGGUAUUGACUAAUUCAUAUGUAUAAAGCUCAUAGUUUACUUCAAUUUCUUGUUCUUUCAAAGAACAAACAAGUUAAGGUGAUGGAAUUGCAAUAUUGUCACGGGCACUUCAAUAUUUUUUUAUUACUUCCCAGUUCGAUAAUAUUGUUUUGAUCACACGGUCGACAUUUCCAAGAAAAUAGUAUUCUGAUCCAAACAAACUGACUUAUUACCUUUUUAUUGAAAGGUACUGUUAUUAUACCACAAAAUGCUGCUUUUGUAUGUGACCUAUUCAUUUUUUAUUCACUUUGAAAUUUGCGAAGGCUAAACUCCCAACAAAUGCAAAAACUUAAUGGAACUUGUUUACUUCUAUAUAUUGUUCUGAUUAUAUCUUAUGUACCGGUAUGAUGGAACUGGCUUUGGGGUGUGACGUUAAAUUUCGAUGCAUCUUAUUGUUGUGCCUACCAUUAACCAAAGUCAUGAUUGAUAAUAUUAUUGAUAUCUAUAAGAUUUAUAAAAAAUAAUAUGUAACAUUCUCUGUGUAUGAGGCUUUUUUCAGCUAGUCAUUAGGAAUCUUUGGACAUAUAAGAUCUUGAGAAGCAUAAAUAGUUACUUGGGAUUGAGAUUGUGAAGUCAGUUUGCCUAAUUCUCUGUUGUGGUUGGCUCUCAUACUCUGACAUUGAUCGCUUGCUUGGGCUCCUAUCUGAUACUGUCGUGCUUUCUCAUGGGAUUCUAAUGUAGUGCCUCCUCCUUACUCAUGCUAUGAAGCUUAUAUUUUCAUUUCAUCUGUCUCUAGAUUGAAUGCCAAAAGAAUUAUUAAUUAUUAUAUACAGUAAAUCUCUUGAAGAAAGCUGGGAUCCUAGUCACAAGCCUGCAAAACUUGUAGGCAUCAAAUAGAAGAGAAUUGUUGGAAAAACUGCAACCAAUGAAAGAACUUACUAUAAAUUACUUAUUAAAAACUAAUGAUUGACUAAACAAGGGAGUUAGGAAGUAUUAGGAGUCCAGGGCAAAAAGUAGAAUAACCAAGAUAGUUGUAAGUAAAUAUGAAUAUUACGUUCUCUCUAUGUAUUGUUUCUGCACAUUUCCCUCUUAAUGCUUUUAUGAGCUUCAACCAAUGUUUCAAAAAGCGGACUGCCAGCGCUUAGGCGGUCGCCUAAGGGGAUCCGAGGACUUGUGCAUAUCGCCCAAGCUUAGGCGCCCAAAAAAAGUUGAGGUUCCUGGGUGCCCGCCCAAGUACAGUGCCCCACCCAGAGGCGGAAAAAGGUUUCGGUGGGGGCUAUUUUUAUCCAUUAUUUUUAUACUAAGGG